rnacentral:tRNA from 1 species
GCCAGCAUGGCAUAGUAGUUUGAGUGUUAGACUACAACUCUGGAGAGCAGGGUUCGAUUCCCGGCUUGGCC